CCAAGAAACCAAAAGUUGUUGCAGUCGGGAGAAGAAAACCAGGUCCUGGAGUUGUUAAUUAUCCGAGAUGGGGAAUUUCAGGAACUAAUGAAAUUAGCACUUAAUCAGGGAAAAAUCCAUCAUGAAAUGCAAGUUUUAGAAAAA